UACGUAGGGAGCAAGCGUUGUCCGGAUUUAUUGGGCGUAAAGAGCGUGUAGGCGGCCUGAAAGGUCAGCUGUGAAAACUCGAGGCUCAACCUCGAGACGUCGGUUGAAACCAUCUGGCUAGAGUCCGGAAGAGGAGUGUGGAAUUCCCGGUGUAGCGGUGAAAUGCGCAGAUAUCGGGAAGAACACCCGUGGCGAAGGCGGUUCUCUGGGCCUGUACUGACGCUGAGGAGCGAAAGCGUGGGGAGCGAACAGG
rnacentral:rRNA from 1 species